GGGGAAUAUUGCACAAUGGAGGGAACUCUGAUGCAGCGAUGCCGCGUGAGGGAAGAAGGUUUUCGGAUUGUAAACCUCUGUCUUCGGGGACGAUAAUGACGGUCCCCGAGGAGGAAGCCGCGGCUAACUACGUGCCAGCCGCCGCGGUAAUACGUAGGGAGCGAGCGUUGUCCGGAAUUACUGGGUGUAAAGGGAGUGUAGGCGGGAUGGCAAGUUAGGUGUGAAAUAUAUGGGCUUAACCCAUAAACUGCGCUUAAAACUGCUGUUCUUGAGUGAAGUAGAGGUUAGCGGAAUUCCCAGUGUAGCGGUGAAAUGCGUAGAUAUUGGGAGGAACAUCAGUGGCGAAGGCGGCUGACUGGGCUUUUACUGACGCUGAGGCUCGAAAGCGUGGGGAGCAAACAGGA
rnacentral:rRNA from 1 species